ensembl:lncRNA
GCCCGCGGUCUCUCUGUCCUGCCCUCCUGCGGCCAUCGCGGGCAGAGCAGCGCGGCCGCUCCUCAGCCCUGGCCAGCCGGAGUCACCGCCGCCGCUGCCACCUCGACGGCGGGUACUGGGUGGAAAGGCUGUGCUGUGAAGGGGACAGAAGGGAUUCCCGCGGGACCCAGGCCCCCUGAGAUCUUCGAGAAGGUUCCGGCAACCGUCCCGCAUGCUCCUUCCAUCCAGAACAAUAAGGACAAGCGGGGGAACUCUCUCCUAGCGCCAGGGCGGCCACCUAGUUGACAAUACCUUGAUUCUCUAUCUCAGGAGCGCAGUGGAUCUGCAGCGUGGAGUCCUCUGAGGAUGCAACGAGUGAUGGGGAUUUGAAGACCCAGAAGAUGUGAUGCCCAAGUCUCACCACAGUCCUGGUAACUCUUGGGGAGAACAUGAAAAUCUGCCCCACUGAGGUUCUGCCUCAGGAGGGCUGAGCUGGAGCCCGAGACUCUACAUUUCUAAUGAGCUCCAGAUGAUAUCCCGCUGCUGAUCCGUGGACCACCCUUUGAGAUGUGAAGACGUAACACUGGAGCUUCAGUAGCCAUCAUGGACCGUGAGAUGCCUUUGAAGAGGAAAGCCAGGUGCUGAACGAAGAAGGCAGAAAAAUAGGCCACUGAUGAUGUAAUACAAAGGAUAAGCCCUGUAUUAUUACUAUCCAUCUCGGGAUUUAUUAUAUGUGAGAAAGAAAUAA